rnacentral:rRNA from 1 species
CAGUAGCCGCGGUAAUACGUAGGGUGCAAGCGUUAAUCGGAAUUACUGGGCGUAAAGCGUGCGCAGGCGGUUAUAUAAGUCAGAUGUGAAAUCCCCGGGCUCAACCUGGGAACUGCAUUUGAGACUGUAUGGCUAGAGUGUGUCAGAGGGGGGUAGAAUUCCACGUGUAGCAGUGGAAUGCGUAGAUAUGUGGAGGAAUACCGAUGGCGAAGGCAGCCCCCUGGGAUAACACUGACGCUCAUGCACGAAAGCGUGGGGAGCAAACAGGAUUAGAUACCCGCGUAGUCCCUGUCUCUUAUAC